UUAAAUUCUGUACAGUAAUUCAGCCAAAUUUUUCUCCGUUUCAGUUGAGUGUUCUUAACCAGUUCCUGAAACUUGUAUAUACACUUCAAUAUAGUUGGAAGCUUGUGUUCACCCUUUUUUUGAUGAAUUGAGAGAUCCCAGCACUCGCCUUCCAAAUGGUAGCCCUCUUCCUGCACUCUUCAAUUUCAAACCACAAGAACUCUCGGGCAUAUCACCUCAUAUCCUCGGUCGACUAAUUCCUGAGCAUGCUAGAAAGCUGAACUUGUUCAUGGCGUUAAACAGUUAGUAUAUAAUGCUGAACUUGUUCAUGUGUAAGUUUUCCGUUUAGAGAAAGUGAGAAGAAAAGAGAGAUGGUCGUAAUGGAAAUAAAAAUUUCCCGACAUGUUUGUGAACCUAAUGUUUGAGUAUUUCUGGUAUAAUUGAUAUUGAGAUGUGUGAAGUUCUGUAUCCUUCUCUUUACCUGAAUACCGCAUGUGUAAGUUCCUCAUCAGAGAAAGUGAGAAAAAAAA